UACGGGAGGCAGCAGUGAGGAAUAUUGGUCAAUGGGCGCAAGCUGAACCACCAUGCCGCGUGCAGGAUGACGGUCCUAUGGAUUGUAAACUGCUAUUCUGUCACAGGAAGAAACACUCCCUCGUGAGGGAGCUUGACGGUACUGUACAGAAUAAGGAUCGGCUAACUCACGUGCCAGCAGCCGCGGUAAUA
rnacentral:rRNA from 1 species